rnacentral:lncRNA from 1 species
UGGUGGACAGGAAGGGGUGGUUCGUCCCGGAGGUGUCGUUCCCGUGGAGCUCGGUGGAAGGGGAGUGCAUCAACAGCAGCAGCAAGAGGUUGGAGUUCCCUCGCCGGACGGCUGCGCCGCCGCUGUUCGCCAGCGUCGGGCUCAGCUUGCCGUCUGCGGCGAAGGGCCGGGACAACUGCGACGUCGCGCGGCAGCUCGCCGCCGCGGAGGCCGAGGAGGCGGCGGGGAAGAAGAGGCAGGGCAGGAAGAUGAAGGGCGGCGGCGGGCUGCUGUCGCUGAGGAAGGUGAGGGUGAAGAUCGGGAACCCGCACCUUCGCCGGCUGGUGAGCGGCGCCAUCGCCGGCGCCGUGUCGCGCACCUUCGUGGCGCCGCUGGAGACCAUCCGCACCCACCUCAUGGUCGGCAGCUGCGGCGCCGGCUCCAUGGCCGAGGUCUUCCGCUGGAUCAUGCGCACCGAGGGCUGGACCGGCCUCUUCCGCGGCAACGCCGUCAACGUCCUCCGCGUCGCCCCCAGCAAGGCCAUCGAGGCAACCAACUCAACCUCACACCCUCC